GAUUAGAUACCCUAUUAUUUAUUGUGUAAAUUUAAUAAACUUUAUUAGUAGUAGUUAAGUUCUUGAAAUUUAAAGAAUUUGGCGGUAAUUCAGUCUUUUUAGAGGAAUCUGUCCCGUGAUCGAUAAUCCACGCUGUAACUUACUUGAUUUAUUUAGUAUGUAUACCGUCGUUUAUAAAAUCUUUUUAGGGUAAAUUUUUUUAAUUUUUAAAUAAAAAAUUUUUCAGAUCAAGGUGCAGCUUGUAAAAUAAUUACUUAAUAAUUAAGUGGAGAUGGAUUACAAUAUAUUAUUAGUAGAUGAAUUAUUUAUUGUAAUAUAGGUAUGAAGGUGGAUUUAAAUGUAAUUUUAUGAAGAUUAUUAAAAUGAUUAUAGCUCUGGACUAUGCACACAUCGCCCGUCACUCUCAUUAUUUUAUAUGAGAUAAGUC
rnacentral:rRNA from 1 species